rnacentral:lncRNA from 1 species
UAAUCCUAGUUGAAAUCUUAUAGGACUUCAUUCAAACUUUAGGCCAAAAACUAACUAAAUCUUAAAUCUUAAAUAAUUUCAAAUAAAAUCGUAAAUCCUAAAUCAAAUCCUGAUCAAAUCCUAACCAAAUCUUAAACCUUAAACCAAAUUUUAAAUCCUAAAUAAAAUCCUAAAUCUUCAAUCAAAUCCUAACCAAAUUUUAAAUCCUAAAUCAAACCUUAAUCCUAAAUCAAAUCCUAACCAAAUCCUAAAUCCUAAAUUAAAUCCUAAUCCUAAAUCAAAUCCUAAUUAAAUCCUAAUUAAAUCUUAACUCUAAAUCAAAUCCUAACCACCUCUAUACUAAAUCCUAAAUCUUAAAUCAAAUUCUAAUUUUAAUCCUAAUCCUAAAUCAAAUCCUAACCAAAUCUUAACCCUAAAUCAAACUCUAAUCAAAUCUUAAAACCCUAAAUCAAAUCCUAAUCCUUAAUCAAAUCCUAAUCAAAUCCUAAAUCCUAAUCAAAUUUUAAUUCUAAUCCUAAAUCCUAAACCAAAUCCUAACCAAAUCCUAAUUCUAAAUCAAAGCAUAACCAAACCUUAAUCCUAAAUCAUACUCUAAUCAAACCUUAAAUCCUAAAUCAAAUCCUCAUCUUAAAUAAAAUCCUAAUCAAAUCCUAAUCAAAUCCUAAUCAAAUCCUAA